ACCUGUGUCCCAGCCAGUUUGUGUGCAGGCAAGAGGAAGGGCUUGGACUGCUCCACUUGCCCUGUUUGUCUUGGCUUUAUAAUAUGUUUGGGGCAAUGCAGGCAGGGAGAAUGAGGGCAUGGUUUUACCCCAGCACGCAGUGGGUAUUUCCUUUGCAUGUCAUGGUCAGGCCUAGCCAGGGCUUCCACUGUCCCUUUCCCACACCAGUGGCUUCUUUUGCAAUCCCAAGUUUGUACACCAGUCCCAGAUGCUGGUGAGAGGACAGUGGUCACCCUGUGUGCCACUGAUGCAGCCCUCGCCCGCCCAGGGAUGCUGGGGCCAGGCUCUGGGAGCAGCAGCAUCCCCCUGAUGAACUCCAUCUGUAUUCCACAGGAACACCAUCAUACAGCCCCCCGGAAUGGACCCACUUUGGCUGGUACCAUGGCGAGCCAGCUACCAUCUGGUCCCUGGGCAUCCUGCUGCACGAGAUGGUCUGUGGGAAGAUGCCUUUCAGGAGGGGCUGGAACUUCAGCUGGGGCCAGCUCUCGCUGCCACAAUGGCUCUCUCCAGAGUGCCAAAAUCUGAUCAGGUGGUGUUUAUCUAUGCACCCCUUGGCCAGACCCUCAUUAGAAGAGGUGUUCAGUCAUCCUUGGAUGCAGGAUAUUCCUCUGCCCUAGAAGAAGGGAGAGAGCCACAGGCACACUUUGAUCCAGGGCCCUGGGAAAGAGAAGGAGCCCCUGGAGAAGCUGUACCAGAUGGGGCUGCUGCUGCAGGAGACGGCGAGGAUGACAUGAUGAUGACAACCUCUUCCUCAACCUGGCCACCAGCAGUUGAAGAGGAAGCAUUCUAGGUGGUCCAGUCUGGAUUGGGAAGUGCUUGGGACCAGCUGCAGCGUGGAUGGGCCGUGCCCUUGGAGCAGGCUGAGGACAUCGUUUGGGA